UAGGUACCUAGGGUGAUGUUACAGAGGAUGCAGUUGUAAAUGGCAACCAAGCGAAAUUUUUUGUGCAUCAUGGAUGGUGUAGAAAAUCCGAUAUGGAGUGCACUGUCUCAUUCGAUUGAUCUACGUAGUCAUCAUUUUUCAAUACGUAUUAAAUACCAGUAGGUCAAUUUUUUUAUUUAAAAAUUUUGUAUGAUGAAAAUG
rnacentral:lncRNA from 1 species